CUACGGGCGGCACCAGUGGGGAAUAUUGCACAAUGGAGGAAACUCUGAUGCAGCAACGCCGCGUGGGGGAUGACACAUUUCGGUGCGUAAACUCCUUUUAUAUACAAAGAUAAUGACGGUAGUAUAUGAAUAAGCAUCGGCUAACUCCGUGCCAGCAGCCGCGGUAAUACGGAGGAUGCAAGCGUUACUCGGAAUCACUGGGCGUAAAGAGCAUGUAGGCUGGUUGAUCAGUCAGGUGUGAAAUCCAAUGGCUUAACCAUUGAACUGCACUUGAAACUGUCAACCUAGAGUAUGGAAGGGGCAGAUGGAAUUAGUGGUGUAGGGGUAAAAUCCGUAGAUAUCACUAGGAAUACCUAAAGCGAAGGCGAUCUCCUGGAACAUUACUGACGCUAAGGCGUGAAAGCGUGGGGAGCAAACAGGAUUAGAUACCCGUGUAGUC
rnacentral:rRNA from 1 species